UACGGAGGGUGCGAGCGUUGUCCGGAAUCACUGGGCGUAAAGGGCGCGUAGGCGGCCUGAUAAGUAGGGGGUGAAAUCCUGCGGCUUAACCGCAGGGCUGCCUUCUAAACUGUCAGGCUCGAGCACAGUAGAGGCAGGUGGAAUUCCCGGUGUAGCGGUGGAAUGCGUAGAGAUCGGGAAGAACAUCAGUGGCGAAGGCGGCCUGCUGGGCUGUUGCUGACGCUGAGGCGCGAAAGCUAGGGGAGCAAACGGG
rnacentral:rRNA from 1 species